rnacentral:rRNA from 1 species
AUUGAACGCUGGCGGCAUGCCUUACACAUGCAAGUCGAACGGCAGCACGGACUUCGGUCUGGUGGCGAGUGGCGAACGGGUGAGUAAUGCAUCGGAACGUACCUUUCAGUGGGGGGUAACGUAGCGAAAGUUACGCGAAUACCGCAUAUUCUGUGAGCAGGAAAGCAGGGGAUGGAAAGACCUUGCGCGGGGUGAGGGGCCGAUAUCGGAUUAGCUAGUUGGUGGGGUAAAGGCCUACGAAGGCGACGAUCUGUAGCGCGUCUGAGAGGCUGAUCCGCCACCCUGGAACUGAGCCACGGUCCAGACUCCUACGGGAGGCAGCAGUGGGGAAUUUUGGACAAUGGGGGCAAACCUGAUCCAGCCAUGCCGCGUGAGUGAAGACGGCCUUCGGGUUGUAAUGAUCUCUCGGCCGGGAAGAACUCGCAUAGGCUAAUACCCUGUGUGGAUGACGGUACCGGAAUAAGAAGCACCGGCUAACUACGUG